UACGAAGGGGGCUAGCGUUGCUCGGAAUCACUGGGCGUAAAGGGUGCGUAGGCGGGUCUUUAAGUCAGGGGUGAAAUCCUGGAGCUCAACUCCAGAACUGCCUUUGAUACUGAAGAUCUUGAGUUCGGGAGAGGUGAGUGGAACUGCGAGUGUAGAGGUGAAAUUCGUAGAUAUUCGCAAGAACACCAGUGGCGAAGGCGGCUCACUGGCCCGAUACUGACGCUGAGGCACGAAAGCGUGGGGAGCAACAGGAUAGAUACC
rnacentral:rRNA from 1 species